GCCGCGGUAAUACGGAGGGUGCAAGCGUUGUCCGGAUUUAUUGGGUUUAAAGGGUGCGUAGGCGGUUUAUUAAGUCAGUGGUGAAAUCCUGCAGCUUAACUGUAGCAUUGCCAUUGAUACUGAUUUUCUUGAAUAUAGUUGAAGUAGGCGGAAUACGACAUGUAGCGGUGAAAUGCAUAGAUAUGUCGUGGAACACCGAUCGCGAAGGCAGCUUACUAAGCUAUUAUUGACGCUGAUGUACGAAAGCGUGGGGAGCGAACAG
rnacentral:rRNA from 1 species